GCAUAUCAAUAAGCGGAGGAAAAGAAAAUAACAAUGAUUCCUCUAGUAACUGCGAGUGAAGAGGGAAAAGCUCAAAUUUUAAAUCUGUUAGGUUUACCUUAACCGAGUUGUAAUUUGAAGAAGCGUUUUCUGCGAAUUUGGUUAGUUUAAAUCCUUUGGAAUAAGGUAUCAUGGAGGGUGAGAAUCCCGUUCGGUUAACCAAAGCGCUUUACGAUACGCUUUCAAAGAGUCAAGUUGUUUGGGAUUGCAGCUUAAAAUGGGAGGUAAAUUUCUCCUAAGGCUAAAUAUUGGCGAGAGACCGAUAGCGAACAAGUACCGUGAGGGAAAGAUGAAAAGAACUUUGAAAAGAGAGUUAAACAGUACGUGAAAUUGUUGAAAGGGAAACGAUUAAAGUCAGUCGUACCUACGAGUAAUCAACCUACUCGAGUGCGAUUUUGUGGGUAUGUUAGAGCUUAAAAACCUUCAUGCUUACAAAUUGGUACUCUUUGGGCGUACUUUCUCGUAUGGUAGGUUAACAUCAAUUUCGAUCGUUAUAAAAUGACUGGAGGAAUGUAGCUUCGAUCUCGGUUGAAGUGUUAUAGCCUUUGGUAGAUGUAAUGAUUGGGAUUGAGGAUUGCAACGGAUACCCUCUGGGCUAUUCGUCUGAUCUCUGGAAGUUACCUUGGUGUCGAAAGCGUGCUUACGAUAUUAAGGUUGACGGCCAAUAGGUUAGAACGUGAUUAAAUUCGUUAAGGAUGUUGACGUAAUGGCUUUAAACGAC
rnacentral:rRNA from 1 species